AUUUUCACAAAUAUUUCAGUAAUAAACAAACAACUAUUAUAUAUUAUUUAUUAUUGAGAAAUUGUUCCAAAAUGUACAAAGAGCAUACCAUAAUAGAGAUGGACCAUUCGAAAAUUGUAAUGAAUCGUGGUCAUUCAAAGAAGACAAUUAUUAUGAUAGUAAUGUUGAUCUUAUUAUGCCCGUGUGUGUUAUCAUCAGCAAGUGUUGUAGUAGUAUUAAAAAAAAAACAAGAACCAAAGAACAUAAACAGUGAAUUUACUAAUUUAACAAAUUUCACUUUAUUCGAAUUAAUCGAUGAAAUAAAAAAAAUGAAUAUGUUAAUUGACUAUAGUCAAGAUAUCAGGAUCAGAACACGUGAUGUGUCCAAAAUUGAUAUAGCUGUAGAUGCAGCAUCAUUUUUGGAUGGAAUCAUGCAGACGUAUUGGGGUAAUAAUAAACAAAAAACAUCAGAAUCACCGGCAAGUGUUAAUAUUGUUAAUAAUAUUUAUAACAAUCAUACAUUUAAUCAUUCAAAAUGUGAACAAUGCAAUUAAAAAAAAAAAACGAGUGCAAAACCAUAAUUAAUAUAUAUAUAUAUAUAUAUAAUUAUAUCAUUUCUGGUAGGUAUCAUGCAAACCUAUUUAGGUAAAAAAGAUAAAAAAUCAGAUCCACAUCAAACUGUUAAUAUUGUUAAUAAUAUUUAUAAUAAUCAUACAUUUAAUCAUUUAAUCAUUCCAAAAGUGAACAAGGAAAUUAAAAAAUAAAUUUUACGGUAUAUAGGUAUAUACGACACAAUUAUAAUAUUAUAUUAUAUUUAUAAUUAUAUAAUUAUAAUUGUCAUAUAUGUUUAUGCAAAAUACAAGUUGUUGAAUAAAAACGCUGUGACGUUAUUGUGAAAGCUACAAUGUGUUAUAGAUUUUUCGGUAUGCCCUGAAUCUACAAAAAAUAUGUGUAUACAAUGUUAUACGUUCGUUUCAGAGUCGGAAUUUGAGAAACAUAAGAUUAUAAUUAUUAUAGUCUUCAAUAUAUAGUGGGUAGUUACUGCCUGCUAGAUAAUAUCAUAUUAUAAUAUAUUUAUAAAAACAAAAACGUUGUUACAUCACCAGACGGUAAAUAAAAAAGAAUGAAAAUGUAUGAAAGAAAAUAAAUGCCAGAAAUAAAGAUUAUAGAAUAGUACACGGGGGAGAAACGGACGUGGAAGUAUAUAUAAGUAAAACAAUUGAAUUAAAUACGCCCUAAAGCGUCCAUUAGCGCUCACGUUAUAGUAUUCAUACAGUGUCAGUGUGGUGUGAUGUAUAAUAUGAGCGAGAAACAUUUUUUUUUUUUUACUUCUUCCGUAACUGUAUAGUCUGUAUAAUAUUAUUAUGCGAUGUAAAUAAAGAAUAAUAGGAGUAUUCUACAUUGUAACACUCAUUUCAUUUUUUGUACGAGAGGUUGGUUGAGUUAGAUCCUCCUCGGUAGUGCUAUAUUAUUCGUAUUACCUACAUUUAUAAUAUAGAUGAAAAUAUUCUCACUUCAUCGUGGUUGUUGAUCGUAAAGUUAUCAGUUAUCAUUGUUAAAAGCGCUACUAUACGCAUGUAACAUAUUAAACAUAAAUUAUUAAAUAUGGCAAUACUGUCAUUUUUCGUAUUAUAUUAUUUUUGUUCAAUAAAUUUGCAGCGGGUCUUUUAUAAUAUCGUUUUGCACGAAAUACGUAUUCAUAAAAAAUAAAAAUAGCGUAGUUAUAUUAGCAAUUGAGAAUUACAGCACUAUUCAUGUAAAGAGCAUUCGAUUGUGUGGCAUAUAAAAGUAGGUUUAAAUUGGUUCUAGGUUUCGUUUUUGAUAUUUCACCACCACCACGAUUCGUCAUUGAAUUUACUAUGUAUGUAGGUACUUACAUGUACUCGUUAUACCGUUUUACGAUGUUUUUAUCAUGUCUCGGAAAACGUUAAGUUGAAUAAUUGUAUACUAGAAGUGCACCCUACGUAUUAAACUCUUGAAAAAUUGUUGACAAGAAGAGCUAAAACGACGUCGUCGGAACUAUAUAUUUCAAAUUUAUGCACCAAGUGGGCAAAUUUGUCAUUUUUGAUGUACCGCAGACUAUAUAAUAUACAUAUACAUAUAUUUAGAUUAUGUUAUGAGUCAAUGACCGUGUGUCGAGUUAGAAACAAAACGUGCAAAAGGCACCGUUUAAGUCCAUGUGGGGAGGUUGUAGAGGUACAUUCUGCGAUUGAGACGGCGUGGAGGUGGUACUAUAACGUCUGUUGCAGCAGUGUACACAUUAUAGGAUAUUGCAUUAUUAUAUUAUUUUAAGUAGUGUUCUCAAAAGCAACGACUGUUUUACAGUCGUGUCGCCCCGGGCAUGUUAAAAAAAUAUAAACUCCGAGAAAUCAAGAAUUCGAUUUGUUGCCGCGCGGUAUAGUUAGGGGCGCGGAGAGUAUUUAGUUAUAGUCAUACAGUUAGGCAAAUGGGGAGAGCUGCUAAGAGGGCGGGUGUCUAUAUUAUACAAAAAUACAUGCACAAUAUUAUUAUCAUUAAAUUACAGCAGCGUACGCGCGUGUGUUUGUGUGUGCAAGUAUGUUCGCCUACGGAAACAUUAUAAGAUUAUACAUAAAAAAUAUAUUAUAUAAAUAUUAUACGAUAAGGUACUUGAGGUUGAAAAAAAAACUUACGGCGGUGGUAGUAAAACAAAAAAAUAAUAACAAUAAUAAUGAGAAAAUACAUAUAAUAUGUUCGUCGACGGUUGAACGGAGUACCCAUAUGGUAUACAGAACUUUUACGACGAGUCGUAUAAUAUUGUUUGAGGUCCAAUUUCAGUCUCAUACACCUAUUUAUAUAUACGAAAAAUAUUAUGUAUAAUAUUAUACGAUAAAUUACAUUGUGACGGUCGGAUACGACGUGACAAUCGUCGUUUUAGAGUAAAUUAAAACUUUGUUUUUUUUCUCUCCAACUGUUACGGGUAGUAGAAAUCUAUAUUAUAUGUAUAACAUUAUUAUAAAUAAACCGUAAACAAUUAUAAGAUAUUUUUUAACAUUGCGGCCAUAUUUUUUGAGUCGUAUAUAAACACUGGAGUGUGAGUAUUAAACAAUAAGUAUAUAAUAAUUUACAAAAUACAAAAGCGCAGAGGGAAAACGGAUGUGACACGUUUCACGUGACAGCGUUGGUGAAGUAUUUGCGGACCUUACAUAAGUGGCAUUUUUUUGCAAAUAACUUACACACAAUAAAAUAUAAUAGUAUAAUUAUAUUAAAUUAAUUUUAUUAUUGUAUUAUUCGGGUAGGACCUCAUUCGACUCUGGAUAGUACUCCUACCAUUGCUACAAAAGUUAAAAAUUAUAUUAUGUUAUUAAAACUUUUUAAAAUUGGUCGUGGUUCCCUUGCGCGGAUCAAGACGUUACUUGAUUUUCUACUUAUCGGCCUCGUGACUGGAAGAUAGUAUCGGUGUAUUGUUGGACAUCGAAAAAACUCAAAGGCCGAGCGGACGUGGACCUGCAGUGGCGGCGGCAAUGGGUAGCGGUCGGAAAGGGUGUUAUGGUUGGAGACGCGGGGUCGAAGGGAUGCGGAAAAAAAAUCUAACCGCCAACACUGAGACAGCUACCACGACGCCCGCCGGCCCCGAAGAAACGUGUUGAAUGUGUCAUCCGGUAGAAAUUAUAUAAUUAUAUAUAUAUAUAUUAAUUAUGGUUUUGAACUCGUUUUUUUUUUUUUUAAUUGCAUUGUUCACAUUUUGAAUGAUUGAAUGUAUGAUUGUUAUAAAUAUUAUUAACAAUAUUAACACUUGCCGGUGAUUCUGAUGUUUUUUGUUUAUUAUUACCCAAAUACGUCUGCAUGAUUCCAACCAAAAAUGAUGCUGCAUCUACAGCUAUAUCAAUUUUGGACACAUCACGUGUUCUGAUAUUGAUAUCUUGACUAUAGUCAAUUGACAUAUUCAUUUUUUUUAUUUCGUUGAUUAAUUCGAAUAAAGUGAAAUUUGUUAAAUUAGUAAAUUCAUUGUUUAUGUUCUUUGGUUCCUUUAAAAUAUAAAAAAUUAAAGUUAAGUUAAAAUCACAAAAAUAUUUAACCAUCACUUAACCGGCUAAAUUCUACCGGUUAAUUAGACACUUAACCGGAUAUUGCGGUGCAUACGAAUUGCGUACCAAGUCUGGUAAAGAACCUAUUUCCCGAUCCUAGUACGUUUCAGCGCGAGGGUGAAGCCAAAACCUUUCUGCAUGAUGUAUACAUGUUUUUAACAAUUCUUAUCUGAUUCAGCGCGAGGCUGAAAUGUUCACAAGGUUUAACAUCACUAUUUAAAACAACACAAAAUAUAUCAAACUUAAAAAUUUGACUGUCGAAAGAAACAUUAUGAGAUAGCUUAACAGCACAUUUCAUAAUCCACAACGCUGUAUGUAACAUGUAUUCAGCCUGAUUAAAAAUAUUUAACUUAUAUUAUUAU